UUUAUGGUUGACCUGAUAUCUGACAAGAAAGCAACGUUGGGGGUGGAGAUGGUCAUUUGUUGCAUUGGAGCUAGCAGUGGGGGGGCAGCACUGUGUGCAUGUUCAUGUUUGAGUGUGUGAAUGUGGCGCCUAUAGACUGUAUAUACUAUGGACAACUUGGCUCCGCCUUCCACCAUUAUACGCCGAAUUGCUCCCGAGGAGGCCGACUGUGUCCAUUCCAUAUCCAGUCUACGGUGGCGCCCCUGUUGUGUGUUAACGAUCCCUGCAAGUUAUCCUACAGCGCUGAAACAAUUUAAUAGUGACACACUUGACGGCUGAACUCGAGUGCGCUCGCAGAAUUGUGGACUUGUGUGAAAGGCUGUAAUUACAAACUUCUUACACACUGAGUUAAGUGUGUUGAGGCCGAGUAACAAGAUACCAAGCAGACAACGUUAAACCAAAGGUUACAUAAAUGUUUUCAAAUUAAAAGUUUAGUUAAAGUGUUCAUAAAUGAAGUAAACAAUGGUAACACCAAUGGAUGCCGAAGUCUGGAGGCCUACCGGUGUUAAUGACAGACAGACUCUUGGUUUCAAACUGAAAAUCAGCUCACUGACCGGUGAGGAAAUCAUCAAACUUCAUAUUCAGGCUGUUAUUAAAAACACUCAGAGACAAGCAGAUGCUAUGUGACGUUAAUUGGUGGACUGGCCCUUUACACUUUGAGAUGAGUAGCCUAAUGGAGUUCUUUGAAAACAGUAACCCUUCUUUUACACAGUGUCAAUCUUCUAAUUGUUAUGUCAUCACUGUCAUCUGACUCUUAUUUAUUUAAUGCAAUAAAGUGGGAGCUUGAUUUGUGGCCAGCACAGUCACAGCCAUUGUAUUAUUAAUGAGUGGGUAACUUCAAACAGACUAAUAAAUCAAAGACAGCAGGGGAUUGUAAGAUAAUAAAAAUGGAGAGAAUUACACAACAGUGGCUCAUGCCACCAACAGAGCCUUCGAUGUGGGGGUCUUUUAAUAUUGCUGUGGUGGCAUCCUGGAGAGGGUGUUAUGGAUUCUGAUCUAUUGUACUGCUGGUUUCAAGUGCUGCUCAUCCAGCAGCAUUAUUACCUGGGUAAAUGUAGCGACACACAAACGGCCAACAAAGUCUAUCUACAGACAACAAGGUGAGGCGCUUUCUCUGUGAGCUGGUGCUCUGUGACAGUAAUUGGGAAAUGUGAUGCAUUCACAUCCAUGCAGUUCACAACGACCACAACAAAGGUUUUUAUUUUUUUUUUUAAUUAAUUUUAAGUUUCUUAAAAGGAGUUUGACAAAUCAGCCUUAAAAUACAUGCAUUUUAAAGACAUCACACAUCUAUAGCUCUCUUUGUAAAUCUGGCUUUCCAAAUAAAUAAAUAAAAAUAAACAGCCUCUCCGUGUUUGAUAACUGUGUGCAGACUGAGCUUUGCAACUUUUAAGUGGUGAAACGAUGAGAUCUACUUGUUACUCUCCUGAGGCGAGAUUCAGUGCUUUAGAAGUUACAGUCAUUGAUGCAAACGAAAGCUUCACCAAAAAUAACAUGCAGCAAACUUUCAAAGACUUAAGUUUUUCUGUGUGUUUUCAAUUGAAGUUCAGAUCUAUUUCCUGCGAAGAGCACGUGCAUUUUGAGAGACCAGAGUUUUUGAUGGCGAGGGAGAAGAGAGAAGAGAGAGGAGCACUCUGGAGCUUUGUUGGCAAAGACAGAUUCAGGACGAUAGAGGAUUUCAGUUCUUUUGUGCCCUUGAAGAUGACCAUGUGUGACUUACAGACUGCUGUCUAGAUGCUGGAAGGAGAGUUGUGAUGUCCUCCAUUGCUUUAACUGUUAUCCUCUUAAUUUAAUUUCUAAGUAUCUGUCAAUAGAAAUGUCUCUUAGAAACGGAUACUUAGCAUGUAGAAUUCACACAUGAAUAAAAUGUGAUCUAUUUCACAUGCUGCCAGUGCCUAAAUAGCGAGGGUGGAAGCAGAACCUCGUGGCUUCAAAAGGCUCAGUGACAUACUUUUAAUCAUCUCUCAAAAGGGAAAGAUGAAACAUCUAUUUGGGACACAUCUAAAUGCUCCACUUCCUUCCUUUUAAAGCCGAGUCUUUGACGGAGUAAUCUAAGACAACUGCCUUUGCUCUGCAAGAGCGAACAGGUCAGGGGCCAUGCAUCUUCUUCAUGGUCUUUUUUCCGCCAUUUUUUUCCAUCCGGCCAUUAGACCCCAGCCAGCAUAUUCCCUGCCCUGCAGAGACUAAUGUGCCUUGAUAAAUUUAGCCUAUUAUGAAUGUAAAUGAGAGGCCUGUAACAGCUCGGCGCCGCACUAUUUGGAUAGCGGCUGAGAGCGAGAUGUCCAUCUUUACCCAGAGGCCGUUUUCUGAGCCUAUCUUUUCUUAACACAGAAAAUAAGUGAGGAUGGAAGUAAGAAAUGCUUUGAGUAAAUUAGAUUGACCCUCAAGACUUGCAUGCACUGGAACGGUACUUUGAUUUGUAUCAUGUAAAUGUUCAUCAUUAGAUCUGUUUUCAUGGGGAGAGCUCCAUGUUUCCGCCGGAUUAUUAUUCAAGAUGCCGUGCUUUUUGUGGGGUUCAUUCAUUCAUCUUUCUACUUGGCUUGAAUCCAACACGUCUGUCUUUAUUGCUCCUUGGAGAAAAACAAGAUUGCACGAUAAUGUCUGCAAUAGAAAUGAAACCUGCAGUGAAUGGAGCAUAAACACAGAUUUCCCUUUUUAAAGGGUGUUUUGUUGCUACUCAAUAUUCACUAUUUAUCACACCCUGCUUCUGAAUAAGACAUACUGGUCUAAAUCAGGUAUCUCUAACUGGUAUUAUUCCUUCAGGAAAUAAACUAGCAACAAGUAAACAUGCUCUGCUCCAGUAGAGGCAUUGUUACAAACACCAUUGUUUAGCACACAAGUAUUUUUGCUAAUUCUGUGGCUGCGAAUGAAUCUGUUUGUGCGUGGGAGGGCAGAGUGGCACAGCUCUGAUUGUGUGUUUAUGCAGAUAAGUGGAACACUAGUGACCAUUCUGGCCUGAAACAGCUAACCAGAAAGAAUGGAGCUGGGUUUAUGUUUUUCUGACAAAGUUACCCUCGUCCCCCGAUUGACAAUCUGAACUUCUCAGAGAAAUACAGCAGAGUCCCCUGGUACGGCAUUUAGAGCUGAUAAAACAAAUCUUUUGACAGGUGUUGAACUCAGGAGGGAUAGAUUAGAGUUUUGGGAGAUGUCAGGAACAAAGUCUAUUUAUUUAUUUAUUUAUUGUGAGACCAUCAUCAGGAUCAUUGUACAGCCUAACCCUUCAUAAUCCCUAACCUUCAAAUAUAUUUAUAAAAAUGCGAACCUUGACCCCAAAAGCUGCUAAGUCAAUUUAAGGAUUGUUUUUUUUUUUAAAACCCAAUUUUGAAGCAUUAGGUUGGGCAUCAUGAUUGGACCCAGAAAUGAUCAUAUUUGGCCCAGAUAAAGAUUUCUCAUUGUCAUCUCUGUAUUUUGAUUGACAGUAGGCCAUUGCAGUGUUCAGUCAAAUACAAGAGCACUCGGCUUAACCUUCCUCCUGUGUAAUCUCUCACAACGCACCCAUAAUGUUGACAUGUCGGUUUGGAGCUGUGUCUUAAAUCUGCUGUGAAUUACACUCAAAACAAUUAUCAUUGGAUUUAUUAUUCAGUUUGAUUCUCAUCUCUCGGUGGCCUUGAUCGGCUUCAUUAGGAAUAGACAAAGUAAAAAAAUCAGUUUAUUUGGUUCUUUUAUGCUUUCAAAGCCAAAAAUGUGUCUGUGCUCAAACACAGAGGGAAGGUUAAAGCAGGCAGAUAAAAAAGAAAAAUAACACUCAUUUUCCACAUACAUGUUUUCCUCUUCCUUUUACCCCUUUGAAUUGGAUUUGGUUCAUUUGGCUUUGGUCAUCUGUAGUUCUGACCCGAGUGUAGACUAGGUUAGGGUUACAUUUUAUGGUCAAUGGGGUGCAAAGACAGAAUAUACAGUACAUCGACCAAUUACCUCCAGUGAUAAGGUACAACAGUUUGUUUUAGUGGGUUCAAAGGGCCAGUUUCCUCUUUAACCCAAAUCGUCUGGAUGUAUGGACACACAGCCUUCGUACUGAGAUGCAGAGCAAAACAGGUGAACUGGGAUCACUGGAGUGGUGGACUCGGUUCACUUCCAAUUAAACCUUGGAGCGUUUCUCUGCAGUGAGAACACAAUCGACCCAGCAGCUGGAACAAACAGCUGCUCUGCACGUCACAGAAGUCAUAGCAGGGCAGCCGUAAUAUAUGCAGUAUCACAGCUUUGGGGCAACUGCAGUUACAACUGAUAGUUGACCUCAUAGCACUGAUAGUCUAAUGUUACUCAAUGCCUCUAUAUAAUUCAGUAUCAGCAGAGGACUGGCGAUGGCAACAUGCUGCUUGGCAACAUCAAAUUAGCCUGGCUGGGCCAUCUUGUUGCGUGAAUCGCUUGCCGUUCCUUCCCACAACAGUCUGGACUUCGGCCAAUUGGGAGCGAGUAUUAGAAAUCAGAAAAUAACCGGGCCAGUCAGUGACUGUUUUUCCACCGUUCCCCGGGCAACAGGGAAAGGCAGUCCCUGAUUGGUCCAUGUGUAGAUGGUGACGUCUUAACACAUGCUGCAGGACUUUUCAAAGCGCCGUUCAUUCAGAACGACGUUAAUUCUGCAGUUGACUUUGCAAAGUCGGCAGAAAUCGUUUAUAUCCGCAGAAGAAGACGUAAAAGACAUUGUUUGCUCGCACACGUUGAAAUAUUACCAAACCUUUACUUGAUGCUUGAGAGCCCAGCAGGGAACACAGCUGCGCACUGUGAUGACGUCAGAUGUUUGUUUGCAGUGAUUGGUUACAGUAGUCUGUCUAUCAAGGAAAGUACUCCGCCCACUUUUUUUAGGGCUCUGUCACAUGUAGUGUUGCCACGAACAACAAUCAAGAACAAGUUAGCAGUGUCUCACAACCUCCUGACAGAAAUCAUAGUAAUUUUGAUUUCUCUCUUGGCUCUCCACAGUGUGUAAAAUUUUCACGAUUGACCAGCAACAACAUCAUGCAUAGAAAAAGGCUUUUCUUAAGUUUUGAGAAGAAAUAAGAAUGAAAAUAAAAUCUAGGCUCGGACACCUCAGGUCUCUCAUUAGGCGUGAGGACCCAACUGUGAGGACCCAAAUGAACUCUGAAUAGUAUUCUUAAAAUAUUCAACCCUUUCUUAAGCCUUUAAAGAGGCCUUCAGUUAAAAACCAAGGUCAUACAUUUAUCAAAAAGCCACAUCUAAGUCUAUCAAGUUGGGAUUAUGCCCACUGCUCUCCUUUUUUUAGUCUCCCCCGUGACUCUAAAAUGUAUCUUUUAUUAUUCAUAAUGUGAGUCAAGUACCCUGGAGACAACUCUACCAAAUGCACUGGUUUCAACGUGCUCCACAGAAGAUAAAACUGAACAAUACUCACACGCACAUACCCAUACACACAGAGCCAAUAAGUUCUUGUUCUGGGCACUCGACCAAUUCAAAUAAGCCUGACCGCUCUUUCCGUUCGCACUCGCCUCCCUCCUUCCUUCUUCUCUUUCCUGACCUAUAACCAGCACAGCAUGUCUUAACAAACUGCACUGUGGACACAGAGCCAGAAACAUAACUAUAUUUCACCUAGAAUUCAGUUACAUGCCAGUAAUACCAAUUGGACACAGCUUCCGCAUCCCAUCAGAGGGUUAAGUCCGGCCAAAUUGAAAAACAUAUUGCUUAAAACCAAGGCUUGAUGGACUGAUUUGUUGGACAGCAUGGUCCCUAAAGGGAUAAAUGAAGAAUAAAUCCCUUUAUGGUUUUUGGACCAUAGGGUCAAUCUUCUGGAUUGGAUAUGGAGUGGUUUUGCCUGUCAGAGUUUAUAUUCUUCAUAACUCCUACAACUUUGCAAACACAGCCUGAAAAAUCAGUGUUCAAUAGAGCAGACUCUGUGGUACUGAGCUGUGAGGUUACACUUCAUCACGAAAACCUCACCUCAGCCUCCCUGAUGACCUUUAGGAAGAGCUUUUUUGGCUAUUUAAGUUAUGUGAAAUUGUA